GAUGAACGCUAGCGGGAGGCCUAACACAUGCAAGCCGAGCGGUAUUGUUUCUUCGGAAAUGAGAGAGCGGCGUACGGGUGCGUAACACGUGUGCAACCUGCCUUUAUCUGGGGGAUAGCCUUUCGAAAGGAAGAUUAAUACUCCAUAAUAUAUUGAACGGCAUCGUUUAAUAUUGAAAGCUCCGGCGGAUAGAGAUGGGCACGCGCAAGAUUAGCUAGUUGGUGAGGUAACGGCUCACCAAGGCGAUGAUCUUUAGGGGACCUGAGAGGGUGAUCCCCCACACUGGUACUGAGACACGGACCAGACUCCUACGGGAGGCAGCAGUGAGGAAUAUUGGUCAAUGGGUGCAAGCCUGAACCAGCCAUCCCGUGUGAAGGACGACUGCCCUAUGGGUUGUAAACUUCUUUUGUAUAGGGAUAAACCUACCCUCGAGAGGGUAGCUGAAGGUACUAUACGAAUAAGCACCGGCUAACUCCGUG
rnacentral:rRNA from 1 species